UACGGAGGGUGCAAGCGUUAUCCGGAUUCACUGGGUUUAAAGGGCGCGUAGGCGGGCUGUCAAGUUUGGGGUGAAAUCCCGCGGCUCAACCGUGGAACUGCCUCAAAUACUGACGGUCUCGAGGGAGGUAGGGGCGAGCGGAACUGAUGGUGGAGCGGUGAAAUGCGUUGAUAUCAUCAGGAACUCCGGUGGCGAAGGCGGCUCGCUGGACCUUUUCUGACGCUGAGGCGGCGAAAAGCUAGGGGAGCAAACGGG
rnacentral:rRNA from 1 species